rnacentral:lncRNA from 1 species
CCCCUCCUGAGCCUGAAUGCCCCCCACCUCCACCUCCAUCUCCACCUCCACCUCCACCUCCAUCUCCACCUCCACCUCCAUCUCCACCUCCACCUCCACCUCCAUCUCCACCUCCACCUCCAUCUCCACCUCCACCUCCACCUCCAUCUCCACCUCCACCCCCUCCUCCACCCCCUCCUCCUCCUCCUCCUCCACCUCCUCCUCCUCCUCCGCCUCCGCCUCCUCCUCCUCCACCAGUCGAUCGCAAUGCGAGACUUAAAAUUGCUCUAAAAGCAAUCAGGAUA